AGAGUUUGAUCAUGGCUCAGGAUGAACGCUAGCGACAGGCUUAACACAUGCAAGUCGAGGGGCAGCGGGUAGAUGAGCUUGCUCAUUUAUGCCGGCAACCGGCGCACGGGUGAGUAACACGUAUGCAACCUGCCCGUCUCAGGGGGAUAAUCGUCGGAAACGGCGUCUAAUACCCCGUAUGAAGCUGGACGGCAUCGUCUGGUUUUGAAAGAAUAUCGGAGACGGAUGGGCAUGCGGCGCAUUAGCUAGUUGGCGGGGUAACGGCCCACCAAGGCGACGAUGCGUAGGGGUUCUGAGAGGAAGGUCCCCCACACUGGUACUGAGACACGGACCAGACUCCUACGGGAGGCAGCAGUGAGGAAUAUUGGUCAAUGGGCGAGAGCCUGAACCAGCCAAGUCGCGUGAGGGAGUACUGCCCUAUGGGUUGUAAACCUCUUUUGUCGGGGAGCAAAAGCCGGACGUGUCCGUCUGUGAGAGUACCCGAAGAAAAAGCAUCGGCUAACUCCGUGCCAGCAGCCGCGGUAAUACGGAGGAUGCGAGCGUUAUCCGGAUUUAUUGGGUUUAAAGGGUGCGCAGGCGGAUUUUUAAGUCAGCGGUCAAAUCGUGGGGCUCAACCCCAUCCA
rnacentral:rRNA from 1 species